ensembl:lncRNA
CAGGGAAGUACCGCCGUGUAAUCCAUUUAUUUCAACAAAGUAACUGUAUUCUGAAUACCACCUUUUUAAACGGUAACUGUAACGGAAUACAGUUACUCAUAUUUUGUAUUCUGAAUACGUAACGGCGGUACAUGUAUUCCGUUACUCCCCAACACUGUCACUAGGAGAUCAGAAACAUGGUGUCCUUGCAAAAGUGGAAAGAGGCCAGGCCUUGUCUUAUAGACAAAAUGUUAUCUACUCUGGAUCCACAGUCACACCGUGUGUGUCAGUGUGGCAAACAAGUAGUUGUGAGGUGUCUGGACUGCCUGCCUCUUCCAUUCCUUUGUGCUGACUGUGAUAUUGCAGUUCACACACGCUUUGUCCUGCACAACCAAGAGGCAGUAACAGGAGGGUUUUUGCAGCCUUCAUCAGAGUUUCACAAGCCAAUAGUUCGGCUGUUGCCUGUGCAAAGGCCAGACCAUGUGUGUGACUGCCAAGCAGGUAACGUUGAGGUUUCACCCGGCGCAGUUGUGGCUCUUGUAACCAUAAAUGGUUGCCCUUUUGUCACACACUACAUACACAAUAGAUGUGUUUGCAGGUUUUAGUGCAAAUUGUACAUUGCUAUCAUCAUUGUUUAUUUAUAUAGCACUUUAAAAACACACAAGGCUGACCAAAGUGCUGAACAAUAGAAACAUAAUAGAUACAUCUAUAAGAAUUGCUAUCUUGUUUUGAAUUACCCUCGGCCUGCAGUAUAUGUGGGCACCUGUCAAAGGUCAUUUGGAUUUACUUUGCUUUGCUUUGAAAACAACAUGAAAUCUUCACAACAUGAAAAAAAUGAAUGCUUUGACCCAUGACUGAAUUUAUCCUUAUCCUUUCUAAAGGCCGUUAUAACCUUGCACUGCCAGUGGUGAGCUGCACCAGCUGUGACUUAAUGUGGUCCCCCUCAGUUAAGGACAUCCUGGGUAGUGGAUAUUGGCCUGGCACCUUAAAUUUCUGCACCCUGUUUUCAAUGGAUGCCUUUCAGUCUUUCUAUGACAUUAAGAAGGCUGCACCAGGGAUGUCACUUAAGGCAUUUGUCAAAAUGCUGGAUGAAAGAACAGCCCAUUUUUGAAGGACUGGCCGAAUAUCAGCUGAUGCCUUCAGUAAAAGCUUUGUGGAGUGGAGUGCUGUUUGAGAUGGACAGGAUGUGCAAGGAGCCAUGCGUUAGCUGCCCUGCCUGCACUCCAGACGUGCUUGCCGUCUCAGUUGAUGGAAACUGGAAGCUUUAUCGCAUUCAAUCAAAUACAAGCACUUCAGAGCAGGCGAACUUUGAAGGUGUCUUCAUUGAAAAAGAUGAGGAAGUUGCUGAGUUUAUGAAAUACAUCCAGAGACACACAAAUGAUGUGGCUCAGCUGAGGAACCUCUUGUCAAUGCGUCCAUUUCUCUCCGUCAUGCAUGCAAAGGCUCUCAUUUGGAAAUGCGAGGGCGAACAGACAUGCUGACCCUCCUGGCUUUGGGGUGGACCAAAAGGAAAGUGGAACAACUGGGCCGCAGUUUGAGCCAGAGAUAUCUAAAGAUCAUAAGGAUCCUUAGAGAACAAAUGGAGAGCCUGAAUAUGACCAGAAAUGAGCUGGGUGUGGAUGACGACACACUGCAGCAAUGGGUGGCCGAUGUGCAGAAAUGGGCUGAAAGUGAGUCUCAAUAUAACACACUCGUGUAUAACAAUAGGACCCACCAUGGCCUCAUUAAAGAACUUAAGGUAGAGUUAAUAUCUUUCUGACAGUGUCAACAAACAAAGAAAAAUAAGCCUUGUAAAAGUGGAAUUUAUGGCAGAGUUUUUGCGUUUCAUCAAAUUGGAUUGAACCUGGGUUGAAAUGAUGUCGUACUAGUUGGUUUUAUAAACCUGAACACCGACAUACUUGUUAUCUAAUGAUAAUGCAGCACAUGAAGGCUACAGAUGUCUUAUAAUGAAUAUCAUCAAGUCAG